rnacentral:rRNA from 1 species
UACGAAGGGGGCUAGCGUUGUUCGGAAUAACUGGGCGUAAAGCGCGCGUAGGCGGAUUAGUCAGUCAGGGGUGAAAUCCCGGGGCUCAACCCCGGAACUGCCUUUGAUACUGCUAAUCUUGAGUUCGAGAGAGGUGAGUGGAAUUCCGAGUGUAGAGGUGAAAUUCGUAGAUAUUCGGAGGAACACCAGUGGCGAAGGCGGCUCACUGGCUCGAUACUGACGCUGAGGUGCGAAAGCGUGGGGAGCAAACAGG